UGGGGGAUAUUGCACAAUGGGCGAAAGCCUGAUGCAGCGACGCCGCGUGGGGGAUGAAGGCUUUCGGGUUGUAAACCUCUUUCGCUAUCGAACAAGGCCCGCUUAGGGUGGGUUGAGGGUAGGUGGAGAAGAAGCGCCGGCUAACUACGUGCCAGCAGCCGCGGUAAUACGUAGGGCGCGAGCGUUGUCCGGAAUUAUUGGGCGUAAAGGGCUUGUAGGCGGCUUGUUGCGCCUGCUGUGAAAACGCGGGGCUUAACUUCGCGCGUGCAGUGGGUACGGGCAGGCUUGAGUGUGGUAGGGGUGACUGGAAUUCCAGGUGUAGCGGGGGAAUGCGCAGAUAUCUGGAGGAACACCGAUGGCGAAGGCAGGUCACUGGGCCAUUACUGACGCUGAGGAGCGAAAGCAUGGGUAGAGAACAGG
rnacentral:rRNA from 1 species